CCUACGGGGGGCAGCAGUGGGGAAUAUUGCACAAUGGGGGAAACCCUGAUGCAGCGACGCCGCGUGAGUGAAGAAGUAUCUCGGUAUGUAAAGCUCUAUCAGCAGGGAAGAAAAUGACGGUACCUGAUUAAGAAGCACCGGCUAACUACGUGCCAGCAGCCGCGGCAAUACGUAGGGGGCAAACGUUAUCCGGAUUUACUGGGUGUAAAGGGAGCGUAGACGGCAGCACAAGUCCGGAGGGAAAUGCCGGGGCUUAACCCCGGAACUGCUUUGGAAACUGUGCAGCUAGAGUGCAGGAGAGGUAAGCGGAAUGCCUGGUGUAGCGGUGAAAUGCGUAGAUAUUAGGAAGAACACCAGUGGCGAAGGCAGCAUACUGGACUGUAACUGACGUUGAGGCUCGAAAGCGUGGGGAGCGAACAGGAUUAGAUACCCGAGUAGUC
rnacentral:rRNA from 1 species